AUCAAACUCAGUCAAACUCGGUUAAAAUCGGUCAAACUCGGUAAACUCGGUCCGAGUUUACCGAGUUUAACAAAAUUAUCAAAAACUAUGGAAUCUUCUCACUGUUCUCAGUCCUCUCCUCUCCAUCCCGUUAGUCUCACAAAAAUCCCCCCUUUUCCUUUUCCCUUUCCCCAAAUCAACCCUAGCAGAAGCAGAUCUCACAUUCUUUUAUUCUCAAAUCUUAAACCCAGCAGAAGCCAACACCUUCCACUCUCUUUCUCUCAAAACCCCCAUUUUUUUUCUUUAUUUCGUUUGCCUUUGAUCUGAUUGUCUCCGCCUCUCCGGUCUCCAGUUUCCAGUCUCCACUCCUCUGCUUUGUUUGCUGGAUUCUUUCAUUAGUGGUCAGUUAAAUAAUAUUGAACUUGCUGUUAAUCUUGCAACUGGUGCUGAAAAUCUUCCAGGUAAACACAUUAUUUUUUGUUAAUCUUUUCUUCUUCCUCCUCAUCCAUGGCGAUGAAGUGUCUGAUAUAGAAAAAGACUUGAGUGCCUGUCAUAUUAACAUUUGCUCAUUUGCUGAAUCAUAAGAUCUUUUCUCUUUUGUAAUUUCGCAUGCCUUAUUAACUGUGCUGACAAGUCUUGUAUGUGUGUAUAUAUAUAUAUUGCCAUAUUGGGUUUUUGCAAUCUUUGAAUGUUUGUGUCCUAAUCUGAUAGACGGUACCAAAGAUGUUGCUUUCAAAUGGUUGCUUUCAGUUUCUGGUUUUCAUAAUUUUAAUUGUCCAAGAUCCUUUGUAAAUAUCUAAUGGUUUCGGCAAAUAAUUAAAAUGUAUAAAUGAAUCCUCUAAGCUCUAACAGGAGUGAUCCCGUGAUAGAAUUUGAAUGAAUCCUGAAGCCAACCACUUUGGACAGCUAGGAAUUUUAGAGUAUCUUGUUAACUAUUGGCGAAAACAAUGUGGAGAUUGCUACAAUGCUGCUACAUCAUAUAUAGCUCCAAAACCCAUCUUUCUUUUUAUUGCAAUUCCCACCAGAAUGAGCAGAGCAUGAAAUGAAUGCUUAAUACUGUCCUGAAUUUUGGUUGCUUUCUACUGUAUUUUUCGAACCCAUGCUUCCUAUAUUAGCAUAUCUAAGAUGAAGAAACAUACUCCACAACUUGUGAUUAUUGGAAUUCAUAUUAUCUUAGUCAAACUGGAGUUUCACGUUGCAAGAUCAUUGCUUGUUUUGUCAGUGAAGCAAGCUCUACCAUUCUCUUUAAAAGCUCUUUUUAUUUCUCUAAUAUUUGCAAAAGGGCAGAGCAUGAUCUAAUGGUCUCUGUAUGUGUUGCUUUAGCUUUCGGUAUUCCCUGGAAAGUCUGAUAAAUAAUGAGAUAAAAGAACAACUUAUGACGGUAUUGUUGUUUAAAAAAUCUAAUGAACAAAA